rnacentral:lncRNA from 1 species
GUGUGUUAAUGAGCUAUCUCUUGAAUUUGUCCAUUGAUCGUGUCUCAGAAAUAUUUUCUCAUUGUUUCAUCACACUGAAACUUUGGCCAAGAAAUGUUUAAAAUUCAAAGCAUUGAUAUCAAUUUCCCCCCCCUUUUUUUUUAAAGGCAACUUACAAGAUUAAAAUUAAAUUUGGUUGAUGAUGGUUCUGGACAAAUACAGCUCUUUUAUUUGAGGUAUGCCAUUUUGAAGACAGACCCGUGGAAUUUUAUCCUUGAGGAUAGGGGAAAUCUUUGUGAAAGUCUGUAUUUUAUAAAGCAAAAAGAAUAUAUCACUAAAGGUUGUCAGUGCAACAUAAAUUGUAUACUCAUUAUCUUGAGAAAGGGAUGAGAAAAAGCCCAUCAAAUUCUUUACCUUACAUCAAAGCAGUUUUGUGUUAAAACAUUAAAACAGUUGAUACAUGUAAUUUGUAACAGAGGGAUGAGACAUUUGAUGUUUUUCAAUCAAAUGGUGCUUUAGGGUUAUGGUUAAAUCAAUAGUUGAGUCAUCAGAAUUAUGUAUCUUUACAAUCUGAAAUGUACAUUCUGUAGACAUUUUUUUGUGAUGCAGAUUACAAAUGACCUAGAAUUUUGUAGUUGCAGCUCUUAUGAUUCUAAGGAACUAUAUUUCAAAAGCUAAAUACACUUUCAUAUUCUAGUUAUUAUGUAGUGAAUUUAAAAUUCUGAUUUUUUUUCUGUUUUUAUGAGUUCGCUUUCAAAUAGGCACAAAAAUAAGUAAGUUAUCUGAUAGGAAACUAGAAUAAUACGGCUGAGGAGACCUUGAAAAAUGUAGCUUAGUCUUUUUAAAGCAUAAGAAGGAAGAAAUAAUUUCAACAUAUGUGUGAUGUUUUGACAUCUUAAAGCUAGACAUAUGAAUGAAAAAAUAUGUACAAUGAAAAUUUUCAGGAAUUAUUUCCUACUCUUAAGUUAACACUAAAUGUGGAAAUAAAUGCCAAGCCAAUAUUAGCAAGGGAUUUACCAGAGGAAAUAUGUAAUAUAAUGAGAUAUCUUGGGAAAUUUUAAGAAUAGCCAAAUAACCAACUAGUUAACAUGAGGGCAGGUUUACCUUUGUGCUUGUAAUUUUUGUGGAAUAUCUUUUAUCUGUUGUUGUUGACUUAUUCUGUUGAUACAAAUAGGUGAUAAAAAGUAUUAUUUUUUUUACCUUUGCUUUAGCUUAAUUUUUGCCUUUCAAUCCUUUUGCAAUUUGACCAAAUUUGUGUUUAUUAUAGUGUGCAAAAGGAAACCAAAUGUUAGACCUUUAUACUUUUAAAAGAUGUAGCAUAUAUAGAAAAGUCAGUAUCUUUCAUCCUAAGUUUCUUUAAUACAAAUGUCAAGUUUAGGGUUUUCUCUGUGUAAAUGAUUGGAUAUUGGAUUGGCAUUCAGAUGUGGUUAGGCAUUGCUAUAAAAAUUGAGAAUUGAGCCUCUUAAGACACAAAUAUAUUUGAAGUUUAAUGUAAAUUUAAGCAUAAAUUGACAGUAAAUUUAUAAUCGCCUACCAGAGGUAUAAUUUGACCCAUAAAAAAAGAAUAAAGAAGAUUAGAAACAUUAAAUGAAGAUUAUCCUUUUUAGUCUAGUAUUAGUAAUUAUAAAAAUAACAAAUGAUACGGUAAGUUCUACAUUAAUGUAAUAGAAUACAGCUUUCUUUUUAUUAUCAACAAGGCAAAAGUAAUAAAUUACAUUUUAAAAAGAUCUGCAUGGACUUCUGAGCCAAGCUUGUAAAAUUUGCAAUGUUUUUGAUGUAUAAAAAUAGUGGAUUCAUGAGAAUAAAAUGAAGAUACUACUUUAAAUUACUAUAUUUCAUAAAUAAUUUACUUUGCUACCAUUUUCUGCUUAAGAGCCAGAGUGAUAAAUGCUUAAAUAUUUGUUUUUAUUUUAGCAUUUUGAAUCUUGAACCAUAAAAAUCACCUGAUCAAGUUGGUGAUUGGGUUGCAUUGCAUUUGUUAGUUAUAGUAAUAACUGUUUAAAAAAUUACCCGAAGUUCCACAGAAAUGAAAGAAACCAUGCCUGUAGUUAAUACAAGGUUGUUAUGAACUAUACAUGUCACUAAGAGGCUAGAUUAUAUGAAAUUAAUCUUGGAAGGCCGUUAGGCUUACCAUUAUACCAUCAAUGUACACUGAAAUAGGUAAUUUUGAAUACAAAUUUUCUUUUAAGUUUAGUUUACUAUUACCCGAAGUUUCUUAUUUAAAAAUUUGGACUGUGGACAGCCAAUUAAUUUACCUUUUCUAUGAGAUUUAUACUUUUUUGAGAGGCUUAGGGGGAAAAAGAUAAUUUGAGGACCUCUCCAUCUCUUGCAUUGAUGAGAGGUGUGUGAUAGAGCAGAAAGUAUAACUCUGAUGCAGCAGUCAGGAGAGCUGGCUUCUAACCUAAAUUACCCUUGUGAUUUUGACGUUUUAUUCAUUGUGGCCCUUCUCUUAAUUUGUUUAAAGUAUUUGAAAUAUUCAAUUUCUUAUGAUACCUUUUUGGUCUCAAAUUGUGUGGUAAAAAUAAUAGAAUGUCUUGAUUCUCUUAAACUGCCUAAUUAUUUUUGUAGUUUUUGAAUUGCAAAUCAUGGUUGUUAUUUCUGUGGUGAAGUUAAUUUGAAUAACAAGACCUGGGUGAUAAUGUACCCAGCUUUCCUAAUUUUAGGCAUUCCAUAAUAUUAAUAAAUAGUAUAAAGCAGACAUAAUGGAAAGUUAAUCUUAAAAAGCAGUUAAGGUGUGAAAUUGUCUUUAAAAAACAAAGAUUUAGAAGGCUACAAUAAAAACAUUGUUUGAAUUUUUGCCUAGUUAUUUUAUUAAAUAAUUUAAAGAUUAGUGUAUUUAAGGUAAUUUCCACCUGACCAUCUGAUUAUAAAUGGUGAUUUAUAAUUUACAUGCUUGACAUAAUCUUUUUAAGAAGUUUCUAUUCUUCAAUGAUAAAUAUACUUCAUUUACCUUUUCCCUUACAGAUCGAGUGGCUCAAAACAGACAGUUUUCAUAUUGGCUGUUAGUGCUGAAUAUAGAUAAUUUUUAAAAUUUAAAUUCAAGGAUACUCUCAACUUUCUAAAGCAAAAACUGACUUGAUUUACGUAACAUUCAAGUAGCAUGUUUCUUACCGUUUGAUAAAGUUUUAUACAUUGUAUAAAGCUAGAUCCCUGUUUUAAAAGAUAGUUCUUUGUUUUUUGAAACUAUUCCAUUUAUUUGAAAUUGAAUAUUUCCUAAGCAAGCAAUUAUAUCCUUAAUGUGAUAGAGUCAUUUCAAUUUAGGUUAUUAAGCUAGAUAUUUUGCUUAACAUUAAUGGUUUGUGAGUUGUGAUGUUUUCUUAUAUAACUGUUAAUGAAUUUAUCACUACCUUAUUUUUGUGGAAGAUUUCUUAUAUUUCACAGUACUCUCAGGUUUAAUUCUUAAUUUAAAUGUAAAAAUUGUUUUAGGGACUUUAAAAGGUGACAAAAUCAGGAGUUCCCAUCGUGGUGCAGCAGAAACAAUCCAGCUAGGAACCAAGAGGUUUUGGGUUCGGAUCCCUGCUCUGUGGGUUAAGGAUCUGGCAUUACCAUGAGCUGUGGUGUAGGUUGCAGAUGUUCAGACUUGGCGUUGCUGUGGCUGCUGUGGCAUAGGCUGGCAGCUUGGAUUGGAUCCCUAGCCUGGGAACCUCCAUAUGCUGUGGGUGCAGCCCCCCCCCCCAAAAAAAAGGUGACAAAAUAAAAUAUUCUUAGAUGCACAAAUGGGCUAGUAAUGGUAGGACUUGAUUCAGGCCAUCUUGUCUUUUAUUAUGACAAGCAAUCAAAAUUGUUAUUUGCAUUAUAGCUAUAAUUUCAUACUAAAUGAGGAUCUUUGAUACUGCAAAAUAUUAAAAAUAGGUAGGCAUGUGAGCAAAAUUAUCAACUUUGAUAGUUUGCUUAAUGUGAACUUGGUUUACCUCCCCCUUAAAAGGAGGGCUGAGUGGGCCGAGUACUGCUUUGUCAGUGUUUAGAAAGGAAAUUGUAUGGCAGGUUAAAUGGGUGUCAGUAAUCUUUGUGGUGGUACAAGAUGUGACCCAGGUCAUCUUCUGUUUUUGGUGGACUGAGCACCUUGAGCCCUAAUACUUGUACUGGUAGGUAGCCUUUUUUUCCUUUUUUUCUUUUUUUUAAAUUAGAGUACAGUUGAUUUACAAGUAGGUAGCUUUUUUGUAAGCAGGUUCUCAGACUGAUGUGAUAGAUUUCCCUCAGACUUUGCUUUCACCCAACAUUCCUUAGGUCAUUUCCACCCUUCUCUUGGGGUUUAUAUCAAUUUAUUUUACUUGGCUGAUUUAGAAUUUGUCUUUGUUCACAAACUUUUCUUUAUAAAGUCAGAUUAAAUUUGGAAGUUUAAGAAUAAAUAAUGCUGUGUUUCUUGUAAAUUGCUUCAUUUAUUAACUUCUUGGGAGGAUAUUUUAGCAUGUUGCUCUUAAAAGUAAUUUUGAAGCAGAUCUUUGCAAUAUUUCUUGGUUGUGAUUAGUCAAAAUGAUUAAAGGGAUUUAGAUUUGGUAAGAUAAUCAGGAAGUUGGCUUUAAAGUUUGAAAAUUGGAAACCUUAGUCAUGGAAAAGCAUUUGGGUAAGCAUAGUUUUAGAUUAAGUCCUAAACUUUGGCUUUCUAAAAAUCCUUACAUUGCUACACUUAAAUAGUGAACUUUUAAACAAAGCUUUUUGGGUAGUUCUAGCUAUUGUGAUUAUUAUGAUCAACUUAGGAGCAGGAGAGACUGAAAAAAGUGUAUACCUAUGUUCUCAAAAAUGUAUUUGAGAUGUAGGAAACAUCUUUCACAUGAGGUAUUUCAGUCUAACUAGUGAACUAACUAGUGAAGACUAUGGAUGUAUCCUGAUCAAGCAAAUAUUUUUAGGAAGGGUUAGUAUUGAGUAGGUCAUUGUAAGUAGUAGUACAAAAAGCUUGACAUUUUAAGAUUUCGAUCCUAGAACAGUGUUGAUUAGAGUACAUGAUAAUGUGAAAUAAUAUGGUAAUAUUAAGGAGUGAGUAAUACGGCCUUGCCAGGUUGGUAAUGGAAGUUUUCCUUUAGAAGUCUUAAAAGUAGAUUAGAUGAAAGACUAGAAAAUAAAGUAAUUCUGUGCUGUUAAGGAGUGAUAUUGGCUUUUAUAUUAAUCAGCUACCUCUCAGCUGCCCAUUAGAUCUACCUAAAGAGCCCAGACUUUACUAGGGAGUUCUUGGAGCAUGAGAAAUGUUUUUACUCUACAGGUGAGCCUUCUGAACAGUCAAAUUUAAGAUCCUCUGGAUUAGAACUUUGUUGUUUUGUUUUGUUUUGUUUUGUUUUGGAUUAGAACUUUUGGCUACAUUUAUAAAUGCACAUAUGUCUUGGUCUUUUGGAGAGUGAUCCUGAUAAGGUGUUGAAAUUUCCAAAUCUAUUUUUGUCUUUUUUGUAUGUGUACAAUUAUAUUCUUUUUGUUUUCUGCAGCAAUAUGAAUCCUGAGGCUGAAUUGUCUAAGGGGCCUGUACAGCGAAAUAGAUGUAAGUUUUACUCAAUUUACAUGUUUAAUUUGUUUUUUACUUUUACAUGUGACUUUGGAAAUUCUGAGUAAUUGAGUCAGAGUCUCUAAAAAUGUAGAAGAAUUUAGUGAAGUUCCAAGCAGUACAGAUAUAAAUCAACAUAGAUGUAUGUGGCUUAUUAUUAAAAUUUUGGUUAUUAUUCCAACCUCUUUUCCUUUCUUUACUUAAAGAGAGGUAUAAAUGGAUGGAAGGAAACUCACAUUUGAACAUUCUUCUAAUACUGCACCCUAGCUGUUGGUAAGCUCCCCAUUUUUAUAAAUAAAGUUUUAUUGGAACACAGCUAAGCUCUUUCAUUUACGUAUUAGCUGUGUCUGCUUUCUGACUACAGCUGCAGAGAGUAGAUUUAGCUAAUGGCCACAAACCCUAACAUAUUUAGUUAUUUAGUAUUUUAACCUGUAAGGAAAUCUUGCCUAUCCUUUCCCUAGAUUCAUCCUUUUUGUCAACUUUAUGUAGAACUCAAAAGCACUUGGAUUCUCUUAAUAAUGGGGGUGUACCUUUUACUUUGUUAGUAUUUCAUUGUUAGAAUUCAAAUAACAUAAGUAAUCAUGAGCUUGGCUUAAACUCCAAAGCCCAACAAAGGUUCUUUCACACCAGCAUUAUGCUUUAAUAUUAGAAGAUUUGGGGAGUUCCUGGUGUGGCACAGUGGAAAUGAAUCAACUAGUAUAGUAUCCAUGAGGAUUUGGGUUCUAUCCCCGGCCUCACUCAGUGGAUUAAGGAUUUGGAGUUGCUGUGAGCUGUGGUGUAGGCCAGCAGCUGCAGCUCUGAUUCGACCCCUAGUCUAGGAACUUCCUUAUGACACAGGUAUGGCC